GACGUAGGGCGCGAGCGUUGUCCGGAUUUAUUGGGCGUAAAGAGCUCGUAGGCGGCUUGUCGCGUCGACUGUGAAAACCCGCGGCUCAACCGCGUGGUCUGCAGUCGAUACGGGCAGGCUAGAGUUCGGUGGGGGAGACUGGAAUUCCUGGUGUAGCGGUGAAAUGCGCAGAUAUCAGGAGGAACACCGGUGGCGAAGGCGGGUCUCUGGGCCGAUACUGACGCUGAGGAGCGAAAGCGUGGGGAGCGAACAGG
rnacentral:rRNA from 1 species